UCAUCCCUUGACGGUAUCUAACCAGAAAGCCACGGCUAACUACGUGCCAGCAGCCGCGGUAAUACGUAGGUGGCAAGCGUUGUCCGGAUUUAUUGGGCGUAAAGCGAGCGCAGGCGGUUUCUUAAGUCUGAUGUGAAAGCCCCCGGCUCAACCGGGGAGGGUCAUUGGAAACUGGGAGACUUGAGUGCAGAAGAGGAGAGUGGAAUUCCAUGUGUAGCGGUGAAAUGCGUAGAUAUAUGGAGGAACACCAGUGGCGAAGGCGGCUCUCUGGUCUGUAACUGACGUUGAGGCUGGAAAGCGUGGGGAGCGACCAGGAUUAGAUACCUUGGUAGUCCACGCGGUAAACGAUGAGUGUUAAGUGUUGGAGGGUUUCCGCCCUUCAGUGCUGCAGCAAACCCAUUAACCAUUCCCCCUGGGGAGUACGACCGCAAGGUUGAAACUCAAAGGAAUUGACGGGGGCCCGCCCAAGCGGUGGACCAUGUGGUUUAAUUGGAAGCAACGGGAAGACCCUUACCAGUUCUUGACAUCCUUUGACCACUCUAGAGAUAGAGCUUCCCCUUGGGGGGCAAAGUGCCAGGUGGUGCAUGGUGGUGGUCAGCUCGUGUCGUGAGAUGUUGGGUUAAGUCCCGCAACGAGCGCAACCCUUAUUGUUAGUUGCCAUCAUUUAGUUGGCCAUUCUAGCGAGACUGCCGGUGCCAAACCGGAGGAAGGUGGGGAGGAGGUCAAAUCUUCAUCCCCCUUAUGCCUUGGGUUCCCCACGUGUUCCAAUGGGAAGUCCAACGAGUUGGGAAGUCGGGAGGUUAAGUUAAUUUCUUAAAGCUUUUUUCAGUUCGGAUUGUAGGCUGCAAUUCGCCUCCAGGAACCCGGAAUCGUUAGUAAUCGGGGAUCACCACGCCGCGGGGAAUACGUUCCCGGCCCUUGUCCCCCCCCCCCGUCCCACCACGAGAGUUGUACCACCGGAAGUCGGUGAGGUACCCUUUGGAGCCAGCCGCC
rnacentral:rRNA from 1 species